rnacentral:rRNA from 1 species
UACGAAGGGGGCUAGCGUUGCUCGGAAUCACUGGGCGUAAAGCGCACGUAGGCGGAUCUUUAAGUCAGGGGUGAAAUCCUGGAGCUCAACUCCAGAACUGCCUUUGAUACUGGGGAUCUCGAGUCCGGAAGAGGUGAGUGGAACUCCGAGUGUAGAGGUGAAAUUCGUAGAUAUUCGGAAGAACACCAGUGGCGAAGGCGGCUCACUGGUCCGGUACUGACGCUGAGGUGCGAAAGCGUGGGGAGCGAACAGG